AACGAACGCUGGCGGCACGCCUAACACAUGCAAGUCGAGCGCUACCUUCGGGUGGAGCGGCGGACGGGUUAGUAACGCGUGGGAACAUACCCUUUUCUACGGAAUAGCCUUUGGAAACGAAGAGUAAUACCGUAUACGCCCUUUUGGGGAAAGAUUUAUCGGUGAAGGAUUGGCCCGCGUUAGAUUAGAUAGUUGGUGGGGUAAUGGCCUACCAAGUCUACGAUCUAUAGCUGGUUUGAGAGGAUGAUCAGCAACACUGGGACUGAGACACUGCCCAGACACCUACGGGUGGCUGCAGUCGAGAAUCUUCCGCAAUGGGCGAAAGCCUGACGGAGCAAUGCCGCGUGCGGGAUGAAGGCCUUAGGGUCGUAAAGCACUUUCGCCUGUGAUGAUAAUGACAGUAGCAGGUAAAGAAACCCCGGCUAACUCCG
rnacentral:rRNA from 1 species